CAAUCCAAUAAGCAAAACAUACUACUUUCAAAGCAACUUACUUUCAAAUUAGGUAAAUUACUACACUUAAAGAAAAAUUAUCCGUCUCAGAAGAAAUGUUACCAAUUGUCAUUUUCAAGAACUUGCGGCGACGUCAAUGGCGGCAUCUUUCAUGCGCUUCUCCUCGGAUCAUCUUCAUCCCAUCUCUCGAGCUCGUGGAUUGGCGAUCUUAUCUAAGGCCUUAAUGUCAUAGUCAUGGGAACUUUUUGCUGGAACUUGCAAGGCAUACUGUAGUCCGUCGCUCUUUGGAAGCAGCAUGGGGAAACAUGACAGCGCUACCAAACAGGAGGCCAGGGAUUAGCAGAUGAUGGGGUUGCUAAGGUGAAUUUUCUCCUUGUUAUCACUUUCUUAUAUUAUUUCAAAAGCUAUACUUGGAAGUGAUCAUUGGACUAGCCAUACCACGAAGAACUAAUAAACAAUCAGAACUUGAUCCUGCUAAUUUAUCAGAUGAUGUUAAUGACCCUUUGUAAUGGAGCCAUGUGGGAAUAUAUUGAGUUAUGUUAAUUGUAAAAGGGAGAGAAAUUUUCCGCAAUAUUGAAUUAGAGUUUAAAAGGCUUGUGUGUGGAGUCCUCACAUUGAAAUGCUGAAAUAGCCAUUUUAAUCUUCUCUCAGCUAGUUUACUGACGGAUGUUAGUAUGCUUAUGUCACUGUGUUUUCAUUUCAUUGUAAAAGCAGGGCAAUCGAUUCUUUUUUCUGUAAUUUCUAAAUCAUGGUGCACUGCAAGAAAUCACUACUAAAAUGAACUUUCAUUCUUUUUUAGGCUGGUCUUGUAACUACUCUUAGCAUAAAAACAAUCACAUUUGGUGAUACUUUUUUUCUCUUUUUUUUGGUCAGAUGAAGCCUUACUUGAAUUGUGUUUCCCUAUAUUUCGUUGUUCUGCAUCACGGUUUUAGACUGCAAGUUGCGGUCAUAAGAUGAAAAAUGCGAAAUUCUGUUUCACAUAAGAUUGGACAAGCUAAUCACACAAUCUCUCUACAUCAGAGAAAGAAUGAGAUCUUACUUUACCAAUAAAUGGCACUUUUAAAGGUUUGCCAACUGAGACAGUAAUUCCAUUGCUGGAAUUGCUAUUGCUGUUGUCAUGAUUAUUUUAGCUCUAUCUGUCAAUAUGACACUCGCCAGUGCUUAUGACAGAUUUGAUGUAGUUCUAGUGCUUUGAUACAAAUUAUCCCGAAUGGAAUACAGUUGUUUCUUGUUGCAUUCUUAGUGAGGUGAGUCAUCAAAUUAACUAAUUCAUUAUUUUUUUUCAGUGUAAUUGAACUGACAGAAAAUUUUUGUGUAGCUAAUAAAUAGGGAUUAGUCAACUAAAGUUGGUUGUGAUGAAAAUCUAGCAAAUAUUUAGCUAUAUGAAAUGUUGAGGUAGUAAAUUAUUUUGGAUUGGACGUAGAUCUAUACAUAAUCUCAAAAUAAUGGCUAACAAUAAGAAGGUUUGUUUCAAUACAACUCCAGAACCUGGUCAACAAUCUUGUUCAGGAAGUUUAAGUAGCCCAGUGUAAUUUCUGGGUCACUGAGAAAUAUUUGAGCUAACUCAGGACAGUGGAGGAGGGCAAUAUCUGUGUUCAGAUGGGUUUCUUUAGCAUUCUUCUCUUACCAUUCCAAAAUGGGUAGCAUGGCGCAUUUAAUUUUCUCAUUAAAUGGUUCUUGGUUAGUUCAAAGUAGAAGAACAUUAGCAACAUCCUUUCUGGAAUUAUUGGUUGAAGCAUGAUAUUUGCCUAUUUGUGCUGUAGAAAGGCUAAUAUUGAUGACAAAGCUUGAAAUUGGAUGCAUUCCUAUAUGAGCUUCGUAGGCAUCUAUUUCAUACUGGGGCAAGUAUCCUAGUCUUUCAAGUUGCUCUGGGGAGCUGCCUGAGUUCUGGCUUCUGGGUCUAUUUUGACUAUCGGUAAACCAUGACUUAUAUUUUCAUAAAUAUAACUUACAUCCAAGGUCCUGGAGAGGCUUCUGAAAUUCAAAAUUCCCUAUUCCACUUCUUAACUUAGACAUUCUGGUCGCCAUACUCCAGGAUUGAGGCACCAUAAGUUAUUGGGGCAAAUAGCCAGUCUUUCAAGUUGCUCCAGGUGAGCUGACUGAGUUCUGGCAUCUGGGUCUAUCUAGAUCAUCAGUAAACCAUGAUUUGUAUUGGCAUAGAUAUAACUUACGUCUGAGGUCCUGAGAGGCUUCUGAAAUUCGAGAAGAUUAUACUUUAUACUUCAGCCAUCUAUUAUGUGCGUCGUGAAAUCAGCUAGAACAUGACUACUGAUCUUUCUAUUCUCCAAUGAUUCUAUUAAAGCAUGUGGUUUUUACAUGUAAUUUGUUCUCAUCGACACAACUUUUCCUUGGAAAAAUAUUGCUGCAUUGGAUAUGUGCAUUUCCUGUAGGUACAUUCUCUUUGUAAAGGAUGUUUUAGAAUGGUCCUUACUAAGGAGGCUGAAAAAAUUCAUCAAGCUAUUGUCAACCUCAGUGUACUUCUGCUACUCAGAAUGCAGCAAGGACAACUGUGCGCAUUUUGGAAAGUUUGAUUCACCCAGCUGAAAGUAUGAUACCAUCAAUGUUUGGCCAUGUUCUUAGAGUAUAUACUAUUGUUUGCCGCUAAAAAAUGUUUCAAUGCCAAUUAU